GCUGAAGGAAGAUUAUCCAUAAUGGGAAGCUGUAUCACCAGGAAGGAAUUAAAAACUUUAGAAAUGAUAAAUACAUUGGUAAAUAUGAAAACUUUUUUUUUUUUGAGACAGAGUCUCAAGCUGUUGCCAUGGGUAGAGUGCUGUAGAGUCACAGCUCACAGCAACCUUGAACUCCUGGGCUAAGUGAUUCUCUUGCCUCAGCCUCCCAAGUAACUAGGACUACUGGUGCCCGCCACAACGCCCGGCUAUUUUUUGGUUGUAGUUGUCAUUGUUGUUUGGUGGGCCCGGGCUGGAUUCGAACCCGCCAGCUCCAGUGUAUGUGGCUGGCGCCCUAGCCGCUUGAGCUACAGGCGCCGAGCUGAAAACAUUUUUUCAUAAAUUUUACUAAACAUCUAUUGGCCAUUUAAAGCAAAAGAAAAGUACAUUAUGGCUUUCCUUCUCUUGCUGCUUGUUGUGAAGGUCCGUGUCUUCCCCGCACGCCUCGUCGUCAUGCCUCGGAAAAUUGAGGAAAUCAAGGACUUUCUGCUCACAGCCAGGCGAAAAGAUGCCAAGUCUGUCAAGAUCAAGAAAAAUAAGGAUAACGUGAAGUUUAAAGUUCAAUGCAGCAGAUACCUGUAUACCUUGGUCAUCACAGACAAAGAGAAGGCGGAGAAACUGAAGCAGUCUCUGUCCCCCUGGUUUGGCAGUGAAGGAGCUGAAAUGAAGCAGACAUGCUGAUUUGAAUUGUAUUAAAUUUUAAAAAUUCAAAAAA